rnacentral:tRNA from 1 species
GGAAGGGUCUGUGGCUCAGUGGCAGAGCAUCUGCUUAGCAUGCAGAAAGUCCCGGUUCAAUCCCCAGCUUCCCCUCCU